AACAAUCAGGGACACGGCGGCCAGUCACAGGGGACGGCAGGACAAGGCAGGAAGUGAAGCUACCCCUCAAAUAGAUAAUCCACAAAAUGUGUUUUGAAGGUUGGCCUCAGCUGGUGCUCUCUCGACAGAGCUUGGUGUAAUAUCUUCCUAAAUGAGCUAAAAGGAGGGCGGCCUCCCCGUGACUCGGCAGUCUGUCAGGCCCAGAUAACGCAGUGGGAAGAGCAUCAAUGCCGUCAAUUCUUACUCCUCUCCUUGACCUUGGCUCCCUGGGCAUCAGUCAACUCUCCAAGAGGUUCGCUUUUUCCUCACUUCAGUCUAGCAGGACUCCACAUCCCAUAAUUUGAGGAACAGGGGCCCGUGGCCUGAAAUGAACCCCGGGCAUCGCUUGUCAAAUCAAUACCCAGUAAAGAAACAACACAGGUAGGAGCUAUGGAUGCUGUGCCCUGUGGACGAGAACGACUCGCAACUCGCCAAACACCCGAAAUUGAAUAAGACGCUCGCAGAUGAAUCUGAUGAAUUAGAUGCAACGUGGCCCGAGAUGGCUGUUGAGGUGUUGUGGUUGAAGUCAAAACGGCAUCGGAGAUCAACAGGGAACAUGAAUAAAACACACACACA